AGCUUAAUUUACAAUAUAUAUACACACACACACACACACACAUUUAAAGAAAGAGUAAAAUGAAUAAACACCAUAACAUAAAGUGGACCCUUAGCAAAUCUGUAACUCUGGUAUUUGGUCACCAUGGGCUUUCCAAACAAUGGAAAGAAAGUAAAAAUCAAAUACCUCCAACACAAAUGUAAAGGUACACAGGUAACUCAAGAUGGUAGGUGCUGCCUACUGAGAAACUGCCACACUAAUGUGAUUUGAGAAGGCCAGCAUAGUCUCCUGGGUUUUUUAUUCUGUCACUAACCAGUUGGGCUCAGCCCAGGAUAAGAAAUACCUAUCUUCAAGUGGAUCCUUUAUAAAGAUUAUCCCAUGAAACAAAUGGUAGAGCAACCUCCAAUUCCAGUCUGAAGAGCUUCAGCAAACUGAAGGCUGUUAAUUGUGUACAGCAAUUUCUCUCCCAGCAAUCUAGUGUAAGAAUGGUUAUAUAGGAGCUACAGAAGGCUCAGCAUUUAAGAACAUAUCGCUCUUGAAGAUGACUAGAGUUUAAUUCCUGGCACUAACAUCAGACAGCUCACAACUGCCUGUAACUUCAGUUCUAGGGAGACCCAAGGCCUCUGUAGGUACCUGCAUACAUAGACACAUACAUACAUGUAAUUAAAACAAAACUAACUUUUAAAGAUGACAGUGUCACAAGCAACUGAAGAAAAGCAGAUCUCGGGGAUAGGGUGGGGGUGUGUAGCACAUGUAUGUACAGAAGCCAGAGGUCAACACUGAAUGUUAUUGAUUUCCACCUUUGUUUGGAUUCAGGGUCUCUCAAUGACUAUGGAAAUCACUGACUGGAUAGACUGACUGACCAGCAAGCUUUGGUGAUCCAUCUGUCUUCAUCUCUAGUGCUAGGAAUUACAGGCAUGAGUAACAACACCCAGCUUUUACAUAGGUGCUGGAGAUAGGAACUUACAACUUCAUUCUAGUACAGCAGGCACUUUACAUAUUGUGCCAUCUCCCCAGCCCACAACUAUGGAUUAAGAUGCUACUACUAAGCUGAAAUGCAGUUGGACCUUGAGUUUGCAUCUAUACCUGUGAUUACUCCACUUUAGUUCCAGCACUUACAACUAAGGACAGCCUGGCAAUAUGACAGGGAAACUCCACACUAUGAUAGUCAUAUAUGUACUGUAUUUACUGUGGUAGAACAGGUUACAAACAUACUUCUUGUUCCCCUGUGGAUUUUACAUUGUCCUAUUCCUACAAUGGGAAACAAAACUGAAAUCCAUUGGUUCUAAUCUCCCCAGAGCCAUGUGGCACUUCAAGCAUGGUAUGGGCCCUUACUCUGUUCUUCUCCAUCCCUGUUGUACUUUUUUGUUUGUUUUUGUUUUUCGAGACAGGGUUUCUCUGUGUAAUAGUUCUGGCUGUCCUGGAACUCACUUUGUGGACUAGGCUGGCCUCAAACUCACUGGGAUCCACCUGCCUAUCUCCCAAGUGCUGGGAUUAAAGGCAUGCGCCACCACUGCCCAGCCCUACUGUAUUCUUAAGAACACAGCACUGCUAUCUUUGACUUCUUUUUGUUGCCUACUUUGGGACCUGGUUCUUACGAUUCCACCAUUAAGAACUGACUCAAUGACUGGUUCUUGUGGAUGCGGGAUAAUACCUGAACCCUCAAAUGUAUGGCUACAGGAACUGAGAGGAGGGUUUCAUUCCUUCUGUGGCUACUCCCACUUGGGGACCUUCUUUAGAAUUCGAAGGCUGUAGCAAAAGAAGGAAGUGUAGGGUCACAGAUGAGGCCCAGAAUUGAGAAGUGAUAUGGAAUGUCUUUCUGUACGCUGUGAAUGUUGCUUUUAUUGGUUGAUGAAUACAGCUGUUUGACCAAUGGCCAGGCAAAAUAUAGGUAGGUGCGAAAGUUAAACAGUUACUGAGAGAAAGAAGGUGCAGUCAGGGAGACACCAUGUAGCCACCAAGUGGUAUAGAUUUCAGAACAUUACCGAUAAGCUACAGCCACGUGUUGAUACACAGAUUAUUAAAAAUUGAUUAAUAAUUUGUAAGAGAGCUAGCCAAUAUAAGUCUGAGUCAUUGGCCAAACAAUUAUAUCUAACUAUUAGCCUCUGAGUGAUUAUUUCAUAAGUGGCUGCGGGACCUAUGAGCGGGAGAGAAGCUGGUCCAGGGGAGCCAAACAGGACAGAGUAAAACAUUCAACAACAGAGAAGCACCAUGUUCCUGGUAGCUCUUUGGUAGCAGAGCUGGAAUGACUUGGUCUCAGCUUUACUCUAAAGCUAGUGUUACCCACCCUCAGUUCCUCUUGCCCUGUUUUCUGAUUUACCUAGAUAAGGGGCUUCCAUACAUACCAUGGAGACUGACCAAGCCCAGCAGCAUCAGCUCUGGAUCACCUGGCUGUCCCAGAAGGCAAAGCAUAGUGAAGCUUGCGCACUUCUUCAGCCUGCAGAACUGGCAGCGAUUUCUGUGAUGCUUGUUGAUGAUGCAGUCUUGGCUGCUCCGGCAGCUAUAGGUCAGAUUCUUCCUCACGCUCCUUUUGAAGAAACCUUUGCAGCCUUCACAACUGACAGCCCCAUAGUGACGGCCUGAAGGGAAGUGAGUGGGCACAUGAUCUGGUUCAUCACAAGCAGAGGUGACCUGCCCAGCCCUAUUCCCAUUUGGAGUGCACCCUUAUCAGAAGCUGCCACUGCAAGGGUAGUAGCCCAACAAUGUCUAGCUCAUGUGUCCAAAUUUCUACAAUAACCUUGUAAGGUCACAGUGGAACUCCAAAGUUCAUACAUGAUAUGACUGCCCUUGGCACACAAACAUCCCAGCACAAACAGCAGCUCAGGCAACACUGCUCACAUGACACCUCAGCUCACUCUUCCUAGCUGACAAAGCUAUUGUAUAUUGACAGAAGCUUACAGCUAAGACUAUCUGUGAUGAGGCUUUUCCUUGAAGCUCAGAAGAGCCCUGAUCAACAGGAAAAACAGGCACUCUUUAGCCAUUUCUGUUCCUGCUUCAUGUAUUCCAGAUUUGCAAAGUGUGUCUCCUUGCUGAACAAGCAUAGCACUCAAACACUGCAAUGAGAAAAUAUCAUUUUUGGAGAGUAUAGCAGAUGCUUAGGAUAGACUGGAGAAAGGCAAGCAGGACCAGUGGCAGCACUGUCUACCUGUUUCCAAGGGAAGACAGGGUUUCCAAGUGGUAGGAUGGACUGGCUUUACCAAGACAAACAAAGGGUAGAAUCAGAGGCAGGCACCAGUGGCAGAGAAAUGGGACAACCAUGUUAGAGGAGAAAUUUGAAGCUUAAGACAAAAUGAAAUUCAGGAAAAUAAAACAUCAAGACUUCCAGUGGUGGAACAAAGCUGCCUCAGAACUCAGAUUCCCUGAGCUGAGCUUCUCAUUUCUUACUGCCUGUAGCUCCCCAAUUAACACACACACACAGAGCAUUGGGUCUUUACUCAGGAUACACCCACAUGUGAACCCUUCCCAAGGGGGACUACAUGGUUCCACUAAGCUUACACACAGGGUACAGUGAAAUGAAAAAAGUGAGAUAGUCUGGAUGAGGGGAAUUAUACACAUAAUACACCUUGGAAGACACAAACAAGAUAAAAUAAAGUUUUACUUUCUUAAUAGCAUAUAAAUACUUGGAAACAAAUCACAGAGUUUCUUGACUUUUCCUGUCAGUUUGAAAACUCUGACAAACUACUUUAUCAUGUGAGGUUCCAUUCUUUUUUCUCAACUACCAACUUCCCUAACCUAUAAAAGGUCAUGCUGUUGCUCCAUGAUAUGCAUCAGAAGCUGGAGUCACAUACCAGAGGCUUUGUCACCACAGACCACACAGUACUCCACCACCUGGGGCCGCUGGACGUCUGCCUUCCCCAGCAAACGCUCCACAGAAGCAGAAUCCGUGACGAUCUAAAAUGUCAGCAAACGAACACCACUGAUUAACAUAUAAAUAAUAAGCACAGUAACAUCUAGUUGUACAUUCUCAGUCUUGGGUAUCUAAACAAAAGAACACUCUGGGCAGAACUGGGAUUACACUCUGACAGCUUCAUUCAGGUAAUUCGGCUUCUCCACUGGCCUUCACAUGUCAGUGACUGUUCUCCUAUCCUGUAAGCAUCACUAAGACUGGAAGCAACAUGGGGAUCACAUAUGAGUUCUCUAAGGUAAAGACAGGUUAAGUUCUUCAGCUACAUUUCUCAUCCUAUCAAACAAUAUGGAAAUGUGCAACCUGGUGUUUGUCAGAGCUCUAUCCAGGCUUUCCUGACUAGAUCUGUUGUUGAGGCACCUGGUGAUGGAAGAACUAGUACAGCUGACAGCAGAAGCCUGCUAUUUCCUAUCACUUGUAGGUAAACAAUGCUAUCCAUCUAGGAGGAAAAAAAUAAGUGAUAGCAACCUGAGAAAGUUUAAAGAACAGUUAUUUUUAAAAUGUAUUUAAUUUGAACACACAAUAAACCUUCAAAUGAAUUUCAUAUGGUGGGACCAUAUUGAGAAAUCAGGCAAAAAUCACCUGUGAAAUGUGACAUAAACAGUCAGUCUUUCACAAACUAGUGCUUUUAACAAGUUGGAUAGUUUAAUACCAAAGGAUCAAAACACACUUUAGGAGAGGGAGGAUGAGAAAGACAAUGUUUGCUAGCUCCAUAAAUACAAAAACACAUAAAAAAUUUAAACAAAUAGAAUGAAGAGCUCAAGCCAGGCUUUGGUCACCUACAUGAGACAGAAGUUAAGUAUUCAGGUGGAAUCUCCACCUCACUUCUGCACGAGCAGGAAAGCCCCAUUCCUGUCUCUCUCUCCAAACCUCACCCUCCCAGAAAGUCUCCAAAAAAACCAAUUCUGCAUUCUUGGCCACUACUUCAACUUCCUCCCCCUUUUGCUGCCAGCAGUCCAAGUUCCUGCCCGAACAUUCAGCUUUUGACCAUACUUGGGCACAAACCCAGCUUGUGUGGUAGACAGGUCAUCACCCCUUGCCUACAACCUAUAAAGUCUCCCUGCUUUCAUUUGUGGAUGAUGCUUCUCCAGCCUUGAUCUCUGGGACUGCAGAACUCACCUGGGAGUUGCUUUGCUCAAAUAAACCUGUUAUUAUAUUUUUUUCAAUUUGGCUUGAUCUGGCUUACUUAAUCAGAGUAAAAACCUGUAUCGGGAGAAACAGCAGGUGUUCUUGCUGAUAGUGGUCAGUUCUAGAGGGUGCCUUAAAGAUACCAUAGGCUAAUGUUUUCCACCAUGUGAUUUUUUUUUUUUUUUUGGUUUUUUGAGACAGGGCUUCUCUGUAUUGUUUUGGAGGCUGUCCUGGAACUCGCUCUGCAGACCAAGCUGGUCUUGAACUCACAGAGAUCCGCCUGCCUCUGCCUCCCGAGUGCUGGGAUUAAAGGCGUGCACCACCAAUGCCCGGCUCACCAUGUGAUCUUUUAAGUAUAAAUCUCCACUGAUCCUCACUAUCACCUUGCCUAUUCCAGUGUCUUUUCCUUGGCUUACUGUUCUUGCUGUGGCCACUCAAUUUACUGGUUUCUACUUUAGUCAUCUAAGGCAGCAAUCUCACCAUGCUUGUAAAUCUUUAAAGACCCUCAGAGGGGUGGAUAUUGCCUCCAAGACAGGGCAAAACCAAGCUGAGAAGUUCAAGUAUCAAGUAUGGAAACAACCAACUAUCAAUAGGCCUUACCUGGAUCCUGCCAGGGACAAGGUUGUCUGAGGUGGUGAAUAUGAGCUGCUUGGCACUGGAUGUCUCUGGAGACGCCAGGAUCACCUUCCCAGUUCCAGCUCCAUCUGGGCUGGUCAGGAUGAACUGCUGUUUGGAAGAUCCGGAGGCGUCCACUGCGGUGACUAUCUGGAUCUUCUGUCCUGUCUGCUGGUCUGUUACAAUCUAGAAGAUACACAACACAACGGAAGCCCCUUUGCAUGGCACGUCUUUAGAUCUGUGCACUUACACUUACUUGCAGGAGGUGAUCACUAUAAUCAAUGCUGGUUUAAGAUGGUUUACCAGUUGUGAUGGCUAAUCUUCACUGUCAACCUGACUGGAGUUAGAAUCACUAUGGAAACACACUGCUACGUGUGUCUAUGGGAGUCUUUCCAGAAAGAUUUGACCAUGAAGGGAAGACUGAUCCCCUGAAGUAAGUGGUGCUAUUCCAUGAACUGGAACCCUGGACUGAAUAAAAUAAAAAGAAAAUGAGCUGAGUACCAGGAAUCAGUCUGUUCUGCUUCUGACUAUGGAUGCCAUGUGACCAGCUAUCUUACAAUUUUGCUUUCGUAACUUUUCUACUAUGAUGACUGUGUACCCUAAAUCUGAACCAAAAUAAAAGCCCUUCUUUUUGUAAA